UCGAUCAUGGCCCACGGGUUGCCCAGACCCUAAUCAGGAAAAGGGGCGGUCUCCGCUCUCGCUGGUGCUCUUGGAGCUCUCGCUAAGGCGACAAUGGAGGCGAAUUCGUCGGAGGCGAAGAACGCCCACUUGCUACCUCGUCCCUUGACGCCUAGGUCUCCGAAACGCCUGUUGUUCGACAACCGUUAUGGUUGGAUCUUCGACGAGUGGAAGGAUCCGUCUGAAGAAGCCUAUGCAGGCGGUCGAGGAAUGUUUUGCAUCUUGCCGAUAGCUAAGUCUUUGGUGAACGCCGCUUCGCAGUCGCCUUUACAACAUCAGAGUCCAGUACCUGUUUUAAUUGCUGACUGGUACCAAUGACUGACUCAUUUGCAUCGCUACCAUGCCACCAUCCACCUCCAUAGGCUUGCACAGGUUAAGGCCCUUGGCAACCCUCCACAUCUUUCGCCCUCGGUUGUUAUCCUGCAAUCACUGGAAUCAUGUCACUUUAUACACUUUUCCCUCAGUUCUUCCUCCUCGUAUCAUAUUGGAACCCACAAUUUUCUCUCUCGCGACCUCAUGUGUUAUUGUCAUCCCAUGUUCAACAAGUGGUAUUCAAUAUCUUUGCUUGAAGCUAUAGAUUCUUAAAUUGACGUUGCUAUUAAGUCCGUCGGCAGAGCUAUCCAGUCUCCAGAUCAACUUUCUCCACACGAGUUGCGUGCAAACCUGAGCAAUCAAUUUGCUAAGCUUACCCCUUGUGCGCAACAAUGGAAUCUUAAUCUGAUGAACUUGGGCAAGAACAAUCAUCCCAACGACACAGAAAACCCCACCAAGUCUGUAGAGGGGGAUCCCACAAAAUGAUGCUCCUGUUUAGUUUCUGUUGGAUGAUUUAUCUUCUGCUUCAAGCUUUUUUUUAA